rnacentral:rRNA from 1 species
GUCCACGCUGUAAACGAUGGAUACUAGGUGUAGGGGCGAUAGUCCUCUGUGCCGCAGCUAACGCAAUAAGUAUCCCGCCUGGGGAGUACGAUCGCAAGGUUGAAACUCAAAGGAAUUGACGGGGGCCCGCACAAGCAGCGGAGCAUGUGGUUUAAUUCGAAGCAACGCUAAGAACCUUACCAAGGCUUGACAUCCUCUGACGCAUGUAGAAAUACAUGUUCCCUUCGGGGCAGAGUGACAGGUGGUGCAUGGUUGUCGU